rnacentral:rRNA from 1 species
UGAAGCAACAAAUGCCCUGCUUCCAGGAAAAGCCUCUAAGCAUCAGGUAACAUCAAAUCGUACCCCAAACCGACACAGGUGGUCAGGUAGAGAAUACCAAGGCGCUUGAGAGAACUCGGGUGAAGGAACUAGGCAAAAUGGUGCCGUAACUUCGGGAGAAGGCACGCUGAUAUGUAGGUGAAGCGACUUGCUCGUGGAGCUGAAAUCAGUCGAAGAUACCAGCUGGCUGCAACUGUUUAUUAAAAACACAGCACUGUGCAAACACGAAAGUGGACGUAUACGGUGUGACGCCUGCCCGGUGCCGGAAGGUUAAUUGAUGGGGUCAGCGCAAGCAAAGCUCUUGAUCGAAGCCCCGGUAAACGGCGGCCGUAACUAUAACGGUCCUAAGGUAGCGAAAUUCCUUGUCGGGUAAGUUCCGACCUGCACGAAUGGCGUAAUGAUGGCCAGGCUGUCUCCACCCGAGACUCAGUGAAAUUGAACUCGCUGUGAAGAUGCAGUGUACCCGCGGCAAGACGGAAAGACCCCGUGAACCUUUACUAUAGCUUGACACUGAACAUUGAGCCUUGAUGUGUAGGAUAGGUGGGAGGCUUUGAAGUGUGGACGCCAGUCUGCAUGGAGCCGACCUUGAAAUACCACCCUUUAAUGUUUGAUGUUCUAACGUUGACCCGUGAUCCGGGUUGCGGACAGUGUCUGGUGGGUAGUUUGACUGGGGCGGUCUCCUCCUAAAGAGUAACGGAGGAGCACGAAGGUUGGCUAAUCCUGGUCGGACAUCAGGAGGUUAGUGCAAUGGCAUAAGCCAGCUUGACUGCGAGCGUGACGGCGCGAGCAGGUGCGAAAGCAGGUCAUAGUGAUCCGGUGGUUCUGAAUGGAAGGGCCAUCGCUCAACGGAUAAAAGGUACUCCGGGGAUAACAGGCUGAUACCGCCCAAGAGUUCAUAUCGACGGCGGUGUUUGGCACCUCGAUGUCGGCUCAUCACAUCCUGGGGCUGAAGUAGGUCCCAAGGGUAUGGCUGUUCGCCAUUUAAAGUGGUACGCGAGCUGGGUUUAGAACGUCGUGAGACAGUUCGGUCCCUAUCUGCCGUGGGCGCUGGAGAACUGAGGGGGGCUGCUCCUAGUACGAGAGGACCGGAGUGGACGCAUCACUGGUGUUCGGGUUGUCAUGCCAAUGGCACUGCCCGGUAGCUAAAUGCGGAAGAGAUAAGUGCUGAAAGCAUCUAAGCACGAAACUUGCCCCGAGAUGAGUUCUCCCUGACUCCUUGAGAGUCCUGAAGGAACGUUGAAGACGACGACGUUGAUAGGCCGGGUGUGUAAGCGCAGCGAUGCGUUGAGCUAACCGGUACUAAUGAACCGUGAGG